CAGGGCGGAGGGAUUCGUGCUGGGUGUGGUACUCCCGGCCUGGCUCUCCGGCUGAGGUGGAAGAAGUUAACUACAUGAUGACCAGACUGUAGCCAUGACAGAAGCUGCCACAAUCCUGAGAAUUGGCCUCAAGGAAGUGGGAACAAACCAACCAUGGAACUGAAGAUUAACUGUACUUAAAACUAUCAAGAUGAUGCUGGUCAGACCACCAAUGACCAAUUUCAAGAUGAUUGUCAGAGCUGACUGUGCUGCUUCUACACGUAGCCCCCUCCCUCUGCCUAUAAAAACUCUUGCCCCCUGAUUGUCAGGUGGGGGGAGUUGGCCUUUGGAUAGGUGUCCGCCUCCCCCCAACCCCAUUCUCAGCAUCCAAAAUAAAGCAAACUUUCCUUUUCA